UGAUUCCCUGAUGUCUCAGAGCCUCACCUCCAUCAAGCUGGCCUGUGACUAAGCUGGUGGGGACUGAGUCCACAGACUAAUGCACUUGGUGCUUUCGGGCUGAAGGGGAAGAAGCUGGACCAGGAGGAACCGUGCUGAGUUCGUGUUUUUCUGGGAGUAAAGUCUCCUCUUAAGAAGAUGGAGAAACUGAGUCCAGAGGUGUGGGAUGAUUUACCACAGCAUUGGCCUCUUAUCAGGGCAGCCCCAGGAUUCGGCUUCCCCGUGUUAUGGGUGAUGGAUAGCAGACGAGAUCUCCGAAGAGCAGACAAUUCGAGGCGGCUUAGGUACGCUUGAGUUUUGGAUGCAAGUAAGGAGCUUGUCGGUGUGAAAAUCCUGGGGCGGCUCCGAGUCGCCCAAGAGCAUCCUGUGAGAACCUGUACAUCAUCUCUACCUUUCCCCCUGAGAAAGGUGUCGGUCUAAUACUGUGCUUCGGACACCCCAGUGACACGGAUGCCUCGCUCUUCCUGGGAAAGCCGCGUCACAGCUGCAGGGGCCUGUCCACGUCGUUCCUCUAGCUGUUUAGUCUGAAUGUUUCCCCUUCUCAGUUUUGAUUUGCAGGUCCCUAAUGAUUAGCAUCUCUUCGUGUGCUUAUUGGCCUUUCGUAUGUCUCUCCUUUCGAGAAGUGCGUAUUCAAGUCCUUUGCUCACUUUUCACGGGGUUAUUUGUUUAUAUCCUUUAUCAGAUAGAGGAUUUGCAAAUGUUCUCUCCCAUCCUGUAGAAAGCCUUUUUACUCUGUUGAUCGUGUCUGUGGCUGCACAGAAGUUUUAAAGUUUGCUGUAGUCCAAUUUCUUUCUUUCUUUCAUUGCCUGUGCUUUUAAAACUCACUCUUUUUGGUCUGUAAGGCAAUCAGGGCUCGGAACACUGGCCCGGCUUGGAGAGAGGGGCCUUCUGCCGUGACUUACUGCCACAUACAUGGGGGGACAGAUGAUGACAGCCCAGGACUGUCCUCUCUCAGAAGCCGUGGACAAAAUUUGAGAUUCACGUUUGGUGUUUAUUUCCUCUCUGCUCAGCCAGCUCAGCCUUAUUGCAACUAUACGCUGUCAUCUUUCUUUCAAAAGCCAUACUUUUCUGGAUUUUGUGACCCCUUGCUUUCCUGAGAGGCACACAGCAUAGAGACCAUACUUGUAGACAACUUCAGGGUUUUUAUGGUGUCAAAUGGACAAACUAUGAGGGGCACCUGGGUGGCUCAGUCAGUUAAGCAACCGACU